rnacentral:rRNA from 1 species
CAAUAGCGUAUAUUAAAGUUGUUGCAGUUAAAAAGCUCGUAGUUGGAUUUCUGGGAGGGUGCCGCCGUCCGGCGUGUCCGUGUGCAGUGGCGCCCUUCCAUCCUUCUGUUAGCGUCUCUUGGCAUUCAUUUGCUGGUGGCGGGCUCAGGUAUUUUACCUUGAGAAAAUUAGAGUGUUUCAGGCAGGCUAGGCCGGAAUACAUUAGCAUGGAAUAAUGGAAUAGGACUACGGUCUCUUUGUUGGUUUGAGGGACUGCAGUAAUGAUUAAUAGGGAUAGUUGGGGGCAUUAGUAUUUAAUUGUCAGAGGUGGAAUUCUCAGAUUUGUUAAAGACUAACUUAUGCGAANGNAUUUGGNAAGGAUGUUUNCAUUA